AGUGGAAUUGCUAGAUUAUAUUCUUAAUUUUUUGAGGAAUUGUCAUAUUGUUUUCCAUAGCAACUACACUAUUUUACAUUCCCACCAGUAAU
rnacentral:pre_miRNA from 1 species